rnacentral:tRNA from 1 species
AGGACUGUAGUUAAUUAUAACAUUUGAUUUGCACUCAAAAGGUGUUGAAGCUCAACCUCUCUUA